AGAGUUUGAUCCUGGCUCAGGACGAACGCUGGCGGCGUGCCUAAUACAUGCAAGUAGAACGCUGAAGAGAGGAGCUUGCUCUUCUUGGAUGAGUUGCGAACGGGUGAGUAACGCGUAGGUAACCUGCCUUGUAGCGGGGGAUAACUAUUGGAAACGAUAGCUAAUACCGCAUAACAAUGGAUGACACAUGUCAUUUAUUUGAAAGGGGCAAUUGUUCCACUACAAGAUGGACCUGCGUUGUAUUAGCUAGUAGGUGAGGUAAUGGCUCACCUAGGCGACGAUACAUAGCCGACCUGAGAGGGUGAUCGGCCACACUGGGACUGAGACACGGCCCAGACUCCUACGGGAGGCAGCAGUAGGGAAUCUUCGGCAAUGGGGGCAACCCUGACCGAGCAACGCCGCGUGAGUGAAGAAGGUUUUCGGAUCGUAAAGCUCUGUUGUAAGUCAAGAACGGGUGUGAGAGUGGAAAGUUCACACUGUGACGGUAGCUUACCAGAAAGGGACGGCUAACUACGUGCCAGCAGCCGCGGUAAUACGUAGGUCCCGAGCGUUGUCCGGAUUUAUUGGGCGUAAAGCGAGCGCAGGCGGUUUGAUAAGUCUGAAGUUAAAGGCUGUGGCUCAACCAUAGUUCGCUUUGGAAACUGUCAAACUUGAGUGCAGAAGGGGAGAGUGGAAUUCCAUGUGUAGCGGUGAAAUGCGUAGAUAUAUGGAGGAACACCGGUGGCGAAAGCGGCUCUCUGGUCUGUAACUGACGCUGAGGCUCGAAAGCGUGGGGAGCGAACAGGAUUAGAUACCCUGGUAGUCCACGCCGUAAACGAUGAGUGCUAGGUGCUGGAUCCUUUCCGGGAUUCAGUGCCGCAGCUAACGCAUUAAGCACUCCGCCUGGGGAGUACGACCGCAAGGUUGAAACUCAAAGGAAUUGACGGGGGCCCGCACAAGCGGUGGAGCAUGUGGUUUAAUUCGAAGCAACGCGAAGAACCUUACCAGGUCUUGACAUCCCGAUGCUAUUUCUAGAGAUAGAAAGUUACUUCGGUACAUCGGUGACAGGUGGUGCACGGUUGUCGUCAGCUCGUGUCGUGAGAUGUUGGGUUAAGUCCCGCAACGAGCGCAACCCCUAUUGUUAGUUGCCAUCAUUCAGUUGGGCACUCUAGCGAGACUGCCGGUAAUAAACCGGAGGAAGGUGGGGAUGACGUCAAAUCAUCAUGCCCCUUAUGACCUGGGCUACACACGUGCUACAAUGGUUGGUACAACGAGUUGCGAGUCGGUGACGGCGAGCUAAUCUCUUAAAGCCAAUCUCAGUUCGGAUUGUAGGCUGCAACUCGCCUACAUGAAGUCGGAAUCGCUAGUAAUCGCGGAUCAGCACGCCGCGGUGAAUACGUUCCCGGGCCUUGUACACACCGCCCGUCACACCACGAGAGUUUGUAACACCCGAAGUCGGUGAGGUAACCUUUUGGAGCCAGCCGCCUAAGGUGGGACAGAUGAUUGGGGUGAAGUCGUAACAAGGUA
rnacentral:rRNA from 1 species